GUGAACCUGCGGAAAGGAUCAUUG
rnacentral:rRNA from 5 species